AAAUUAAAAAGCAAAAAAAAAUUGAUUCCAUUUAUAAAAAAAAACAUAUUCCCUUGUACACUAUUUUAUUUAAAAAUUUAUUUUUAAAAAAUAAAAUAACAAAGAUUGUAAAUAAUGUAACAUCUCAAUAGUCCCACAUCGGAUGAUGUGGGAGAGUCUGAUGUGUUUAUAAGUAACGGACACACUAGUAAUAAUAACUGGGCUUAAGUAUUUUGGGCAGCUGAUUGGGUCCAACGAGUUAUUAUUUGCUAGCAGGUCGGAUCGUUAUAUUUGGUAUCACUGCUUGGUGAAUCUGGAACUGUAUAUGAUUGGGUCCCCCUAACGAGAGAAUUAUUAUUACUACCAGAUCGGAUCCUUACAAAUAAGGCCUAAAUUCAGCUAAUAUGUUUAUUUUAGUUACUUAAAAAUAAACAAUUU
rnacentral:lncRNA from 1 species